rnacentral:rRNA from 1 species
AGUGGUGAUCGUGAUUAUUGGGUCUAAAGGGUCCGUAGCCGGUUUGGUCAGUCCUCCGGGAAAUCUGAUAGCUCAACUAUUAGGCGUUUCGGGGGAUACUGCCAGACGUUGGAACCGGGAGAGGUAAGAGGUACUACAGGGGUAGGAGUGAAAUCUUGUAAUCCCUGUGGGACCACCUGUGGCGAAGGCGUCUUACCAGAACGGGUUCGACGGUGAGGGACGAAAGCUGGGGGGCACGAACCGGAUUAGAUACCCGGGUAGUCCCAGCCGUAAACGAUGCUCGCUAGGUGUCAGGCAUGGCGCGACCGUGUCUGGUGCCGCAGGGAAGCCGUGAAGCGAGCCACCUGGGAAGUACGGCCGCAAGGCUGAAACUUAAAGGAAUUGGCGGGGGAGCACAACAACGGGUGGAGCCCCUGCGGUUUAAUUGGACUCAACGCCGGACAACUCACCGGGGGCGACAGCAAUAUGUAGGCCAAGCUGAAGACUUUGCCUGAAUCGCUGAGAAGUGGUGCAUGG